UGCCAGCCGCCGCGGUAAUACGGAGGGGACUAGCGUUGUUCGGAAUUACUGGGCGUAAAGCGCACGUAGGCGGAUUGAUCAGUCAGGGGUGAAAUCCCGGGGCUCAACCCCGGAACUGCCUUUGAUACUGUCAAUCUAGAGAUCGAGAGAGGUGAGUGGAAUUCCGAGUGUAGAGGUGAAAUGCGUUGAUAUCAUCAGGAACACCGGUGGCGAAGGCGGCUCACUGGCUCGAUAUUGACGCUGAGGCACGAAAGCUAGGGUAGCGAACAGGAUUAGAUA
rnacentral:rRNA from 1 species